GCUGGAGUGGCGCAAUUGGUAGCGCAGCUGAUUUGUAAUCAGAAGGUUGCGGGUUCAAGUCCUGUUUCCAGCA
rnacentral:tRNA from 1 species